rnacentral:rRNA from 1 species
AACGAACGCUGGCGGCAUGCCUAACACAUGCAAGUCGAACGAUCCCUUCGGGGAUAGUGGCGCACGGGUGCGUAACGCGUGGGAACCUGCCCUUAGGUUCGGAAUAACUCAGAGAAAUUUGAGCUAAUACCGGAUAAUGUCUUCGGACCAAAGAUUUAUCGCCUUUGGAUGGGCCCGCGUUGGAUUAGCUAGUUGGUGGGGUAAAGGCCUACCAAGGCGACGAUCCAUAGCUGGUCUGAGAGGAUGAUCAGCCACACUGGGACUGAGACACGGCCCAGACUCCUACGGGAAGCAGCAGUGGGGAAUAUUGGACAAUGGGCGAAAGCCUGAUCCAGCAAUGCCGCGUGAGUGAUGAAGGCCUUAGGGUUGUAAAGCUCUUUUACCCGGGAUGAUAAUGACGGUACCGGGAGAAUAAGCCCCGGCUAACUCCGUG